rnacentral:rRNA from 1 species
UACUGGGUAUUUUUAGUGGCGAAAGGGUGCGUAACACGUGGGUAAUCUACCGUAAAGUUCGGAAUAACUUCGAGAAAUCAAAGCUAAUACCGAAUGUGAUCUGACAGGGACAUCCCUGUUCCAUUAAAGCUAGGGACCUUCGGGCCUGGCGCUUUAUGAUGAGCCCGCGCCCUAUCAGCUUGUUGGUGAGGUAAAAGCUCACCAAGGCUAAGACGGGUAGCCGGUCUGAGAGGACGAUCGGCCACACUGGAACUGAGACACGGUCCAGACACCUACGGGUGGCAGCAGUCGAGAAUCAUUCACAAUGGGGGAAACCCUGAUGGUGCGACGCCGCGUGGGGGAUGAAGGUCUUCGGAUUGUAAACCCCUGUCAUUUGUGAACAAACCUUUUGGUUUAAUAGAUCAAAAGCUGAUAGUAGCAAAAGAGGAAGGGACGGCUAACUCCGUGCCAGCAGCCGCGGUAAUACGGAGGUCCCAAGCGUUGUUCGGAUUUACUGGGCGUAAAGGGUGCGUAGGUGGCCAGGAAAGUUUGAUGUGAAAGCUCCGAGCUCAACUCGGAAAAUGCAUUGAAUACUACUUGGCUUGAGGAUCGGAGGGGAGACUGGAAUUCUCGGUGUAGCAGUGAAAUGCGUAGAUAUCGAGAGGAACACCAGUGGCGAAGGCGAGUCUCUGGACGAUUCCUGACACUGAGGCACGAAAGCUAGGGGAGCAAACAGGAUUAGAUACCCUGGUAGUCCUAGCCGUAAACGGUGCACACUUGCUGUAGGAGGAUUCGACCCCUUCUGUGGCGGAGCAAACGCG